UACAUAGCCAACCAAAAGACUCUUAUGAUAAGUGGAAAAUCAACGGAUUAGAAUCAAUCAUAAUAUACUAUUUUAAAAUUCAUCAUAUGAUACAGGAACCAAUAAAAUAUUUCACUCAGAUUCGACAACCAAAUCCAACCAACUGCCCAUCAAAAUAGUUUUGAUUUGGUAUCAUGGGAAGCAAACUGGCGGCAGAAAUGCUACUAACUAGAACUUGAAUAUGAAGUUUAGUUUUAAAAUUUCAGUCUUUCAGCACUUCAGCAAGAACUUGAAAGUUGUUCAGGGUUCAAGCAUAUAUCCAUCAAUGCGUUUGUUUUCAUUUUGGAUUCUAACUAAUGCCAUCAAUCUAUCACAAGCUGCAGCUACGAUGUCAAUGUCCAAUGGACCUUAUGGCAAGACAGCUCUACAUUGAUUAGAUAUCACGCCCAACAGCAAUCACCAAAAACAAGAAAAUGAACUUCAAAAAGGAUAGGCCAAAGCUACAGCUUUACAGAAGACACAUCGCACACUAACAUUUCAGUCAAUUAUUUGGUAUAAUAUACAAGUAACAAGAUUUCUUGGUGAAAGUAUAAACAUGUUACUCAUGCAAUAAUCCAAAUUACUUCUACAGCACCAUUAGAAUUAGAGUUCUUCGUAACCAUGCAAGACUAUCAAAUAAAAUUCAGAAACUAGUUUGAACAUCAAAUGUUGUCUCACAAUUUGUUCAAGAAUAGUGAGAAUUCUCAAACAUUUCUCUCCUCAUUUUCUUCUUUCGUUUAGCUUAUCAUCUACAGUAUUUCUGUGUAUUGUUAUAUACCAUGAUAUGCAUCUGAAGACUAUUUUCAACUUGUUAGAUAUUGCAUGAUGGAUACAUGAAACAAAGUUCUAUGCUUUUAAGUUAGGUCUCAUUACCAGAACUAGAGCAAAAAAGGAGAUAUAAAUCUAGCAUGAAAAAACACAAGUCUCUAGUACUUCAAAUUGUUCCAUAAUUGUCGCUAGAAGCUACAAGGCAAGCAAAUACUUCAUUUCAUUUCUGCAUAAAUCCAGGUCUAAUUCGCAAAACCUUUUCAUAAUUAUCGAUUAUACUCCCAGCUUAACAUCAAAACAACAUUGUUUCAUUUUGAACCCUGAAAUAUCACGGUGACAAGAAAUUCUCAGGUAAUUAAUUGUCAUCGAAUUUACAAAUUCUUCAUGAUUCAUCAGACUUCUUUCCAGAUCCCUAACACUAUGCAUAUAUAAACCAAUUCCUACACAAUCUUAAUCAAGUUCAUUCAAUUUACCUAUCCCAAACUUCCUCAACUGGCCCUGGGCAAACUAAUCUUGCACAAACAUGCAACUAUUAAAUAAAACUGGCAACGCCAACCAUUCAACCAUAAAAAACAUACCAAAACCUAGCUAAAAAGAGAGUUUAACACCACCAACACAAUCUUACAGCAACCAAACAAUCGAAACCCCCCUCCAAAAAAAAAAAAACCUAUAAAAGAAA